rnacentral:rRNA from 1 species
UACGAAGGGGGCGAGCGUUGUUCGGAAUUACUGGGCGUAAAGGGCGCGCAGGCGGCUCUGAAAGUCAGAUGUGAAAGCCCCGGGCUUAACCUGGGAAUUGCAUUUGAUACUCUGGAGCUUGAGUACGGGAGAGGAGAGUGGAAUUCCCAGUGUAGAGGUGAAAUUCGUAGAUAUUGGGAAGAACGCCGGUGGCGAAGGCGGCUCUCUGGACCGUAACUGACGCUGAGGCGCGAAAGCGUGGGGAGCAAACAGG